UAGUCGGUUAAAGUCCGACCGUGGGAGUUCGGCAGUUCACCCACGUAGUAGAGGGAGGUGUAAAGGGCAACCUGAAACACUAAGUUCCCUGUCAAAGUCCCAUUCAGUGGGGCGAGCAAACCUGCGGGUCGUAGCGAGA
rfam:Nitrospira bacterium SG8_35_1 WOR_8-12_7293, whole genome shotgun sequence.